rnacentral:rRNA from 1 species
UGUAGCAUACAAGGCAGACGGCUCAGUAACGCGUAGUCAACCUACCCUAUGGACGGGAAUAAUCUCGGGAAACUGGGCAUAAUUCUUGAUAGAUCAUAAUGCCUGGAAUGGUUUAUGGUUAAAAUGAUUCGUCGCCAUAGGAUGGGACUGCGGCCUAUCAGCUUGUUGGUGAGGUAAUGGCCCACCAAGGCGAUUACAGGUACGGGCUCUGAGAGGAGAAGCCCGGAGAUGGGUACUGAGACACGGACCCAGGCCCUAUGGGGCGCAGCAGGCGAGAAAACUUUGCAAUGUGCGAAAGCACGACAAGGUUAAUCCGAGUGAUUUCUGCUAAAGAAAUCUUUUGCCAGUCAUAGAACCACUGGUGAAUAAGGGGUGGGCAAGUUCUGGUGUCAGCCGCCGCGGUAAAACCAGCACCUCAAGUGGUCAGGAUGAUUAUUGGGCCUAAAGCAUCCGUAGCCGGCUUUGUUAGUUUUCGGUUAAAUCCAUGUGCUCAACGCAUGGGCUGCCGAAAAUACUGCAUAGCUAGGGAGUGGGAGAGGUAGACGGUACUCAGUAGGAAGGGGUAAAAUCCUUUGAUCUAUUGGUGACCACCUGUGGCGAAGGCGGUCUACCAGAACACGUUCGACGGUGAGGGAUGAAAGCUGGGGGAGCAAACCGGAUUAGAUACCCGG